UUUAAGUGAAGAGUUUGAUCCUGGCUCAGAGUGAACGCUGGCGGUAGGCCUAACACAUGCAAGUCGAACGGCAGCACAGAGGAGCUUGCUCCUUGGGUGGCGAGUGGCGGACGGGUGAGGAAUACAU
rnacentral:rRNA from 1 species